CAGGGCAAAGAUAAGUGUGGUUUUCCCCAUAGGUUCUUUUGUGAGCUAGAAACAAACAGGACAUGAAAAGAAGAACAUGCAACAUGUAUUGCAUCCUGAUAUCAAAACAAGAAUACUGCAGAAAGUGCUUAGAAGAUAUUCUCUGUGUGCACUGGCCCUGUGAUCUACAAUUAAGGUCCUCUGAGGAAAAGGAAAACAGCGAACAUCUUAUUCUAUCUAUAUAUGCAUUUUAAGAAUAUUUUUCCAUCUUUGCAGCCGGAGAAGGUUCUAGAGCAGCUCCUUUUAGAAGAACAACAAAAAUAAAAGUGGAUUUCCCUACCUUUACAAGUCUGUCAGAUCCUUGAAAAGAAAUCAUACAGUAUGUCUCCUUUCAACAGCAUCUCUCAUCUUCUGCAUCUUCAUCCUCCUCAAGGUAAAAUGCCCUCUGCUUUCUUCCUUUUCCUCUGGUCGGUUGGGGUGUACCUUCCUGGGCUUGAGAUCUGUUUGAUAGUCACCUUUGCAUUCUAUGGCUAAGGGUCCAAUCUUGAGGCAUUUAUGCCACCACACCAUUUUAAAUUUACAAGGGGAAGCAAAAGCAGCUUCUGCACAGCAGAAAUACCCCCACUGCAGCCUGAGUCCCUUGCACCUGGCUCUGCAG